rnacentral:lncRNA from 1 species
GCAGGAUCUGCUGGCAGGGAUGAGGGGACACUGGGAAUGUUCCCCCUGCAUGGAGCCAAACUGGAGCGCGAAUCCGGCUUGGCAAAAUUGGGAUGGGCAGGAAUUUUGUCAGGACUUGUCAAGGCAGAGCUGGGAUCUCAUCCCAAUCUCCUCGUGCCAAAAUCCACUCCAAACAACCUGGUGGGAAAAAGUGGGAUCCUGCCUGGUUUGUAUCCACAUUCCCUGCGGAUGACAGAAGAGCUGGAUCACACACCUGGGAGGUUUCCUGGGCUAAUCUGAAAUAUUCCGGGAGAAAAGCUCGGGAGAGGGAUGAAAAGGUCAAAGUUCAAGCCCUGCCUCACCUGAGCAGCUUCCUGCCGAAUCCAGGGCUGUGCCAGAGUCAGGGAUUGAAGGAUUUGCCUCCGGUUACUCACAAAAGGAGCCCCCCAGGAGUGGCUCCAGCAGUGAUGGGAACGCAGAGGAUCCCUCAAGGUUGAUAUUCCCAGCCAGGAGUGUUUGAGCAAAUGGGAGGUUGAACUUUCGACUCCGUGGAAAACAGUUGGAGAGAAACCUUGAGGAAUCCCGGGAGAGCCAUUGAGCCUUUCUUCCCGUUAUCCCGCUUGAUUCCUUGCUGCUCCUCGGUUCUUUCAAUCUAGCCUGGAGCUGUUUCCUGCUGGUGGCAUGAAGGGAAAAACGGGAAGGCACAAGAGGAGGAGGGGGAGGAAAAUUGGGG